rnacentral:lncRNA from 1 species
CUACCUUUUGCUUUUGCUUUCAGUACUCUCCACCUGACCCAGCCCUCUGCCCAGCUUUCCAAGCCACAUGGCCAUGAAGCAUUGUGCUGCCUGCGCCUGCUUGGUUUACUGUGCCUUCCUUUAACCUCUUGCUUCUGCAAACCCAUCCUCCUCUCCUCUCUGACAGGGGCCAUCACCAUCUUCAUAAAGAGAGCCAGUGACGAGUUCUGCCCUGGGACCUAGGAAUGACCCAAGAAGCCAGGAUUACCCAGAACCCCAGAUCUGCUGACACCUCCAUGUCCUCCACCAAGGCUGGAGAGAAGCAGAACUCUAACCUGAGACAGGAAGUGUUCCUCGGGUGCAUAAUAGAGAAAGGGAAGUAUGACCACCCUGCAAAGAAGGAACCACAGAGAAACGUCCUCGAGUGCUUACAGCAGCAAGGUGAGGAGAGAAUUCGGUCACUAAGAAACAACUGACUUCAAAAGGUAAAUGCAGAAGCUUUCUCUUUGAGAAUAGAAACAAGGUGAGCUAUUCUCAACAAUUCCAUUCAACCUUUUAUGGGAAAUCAGGCCAGUGUAAUAUGGAAAAAAGAAAAAAAAAAUCAGCAAGGGAAAAACACUCAUCAUUUUCAUAUAAGAUUAUAUACUUAGAAAAAUAAAAUAAAUCUUUAUAUAAAAUAUUAUAAAUAAUAUAUGAGUUUUGCAAGGUUGCUGGAUACAAAUUAGUAUGUGGCAUUACUGAGAACAAUGAUUUAAAAGUAAGCAUUUUAAAAUAUGCCUCAUUUACAAUAGCACCAAAAAUGUGAAAUGCUGCAGAAAUGCAUACACACAUGCACCAGGAGACAUGCAAAACCCACCCACAGCAGCACUGUUCGAAAUAACCCCAGGGUGAAACCAGCCCAUGGGCCAUCAAGAGUGAGAUGGAU